rnacentral:rRNA from 1 species
GGGCCCGCACAAGCGGUGGAGCAUGUGGUUUAAUUCGAUGAUACGCGAGGAACCUUACCAGGACUUAAAUGUAAGUUGCAUGAUUCAGAAAUGGUCUUUUCUUCGGACUACUUACAAGGUGCUGCAUGGUUGUCGUCAGCUCGUGCCGUGAGGUGUCUGGUUAAGUCCUAUAACGAGCGCAACCCCUGUCGUUAGUUACCAGCAAGUAAUGUUGGGUACUCUAGCGAGACUGCCGGUGCAAACCGUGAGGAAGGUGGGGAUGACGUCAAAUCAUCACGGCCCUUACGUCCUGGGCUACACACGUGCUACAAUGGCCGGUACAGAGAGCAGCCACUACGCGAGUAGGAGCGAAUCUUCAAAGCCGGUCUCAGUUCGGAUCGCAGUCUGCAACUCGACUGCGUGAAGCUGGAAUCGCUAGUAAUCG